rnacentral:rRNA from 1 species
GUGGGGAAUUUUCCGCAAUGGGCGAAAGCCUGACGGAGCAACGCCGCGUGAGGGAUGAAGGCCUCUGGGCUGUAAACCUCUUUUAUCAAGGAAGAAGAUCUGACGGUACUUGAUGAAUAAGCCACGGCUAAUUCCGUGCCAGCAGCCGCGGUAAUACGGGAGUGGCAAGCGUUAUCCGGAAUUAUUGGGCGUAAAGCGUCCGCAGGCGGCCUCGUAAGUCUGUCGUUAAAGCGUGGAGCUUAACUCCAUUUCGGCGAUGGAAACUGUGAGGCUUGAGUGUGGUAGGGGCAGAGGGAAUUCCCGGUGUAGCGGUGAAAUGCGUAGAUAUCGGGAAGAACACCAGUGGCGAAGGCGCUCUGCUGGGCCAUAACUGACGCUCAUGGACGAAAGCCAGGGGAGCGAAAGGGAUUAGAUACCCGAGUAGUCC